UUCUUCUUUAUGGAGUCCAAACAAUCACAGCAAUGUUUAGCAUCUCCAAAGACAUCUAUCCAUCACCAAGUAGAGGUCCAAGACCAGCCUUAGAUAGAGGAUCUGCAGUCUCCAGUUAAAGAAAGGCUCAUCAUCUCCAAAGACAUCUACCCAUCAACAAGUACAUUGUGUGUCCAAGACCAACCUCAGAAGUAGGAACUGCACUCUCCAGAAAAGGUGAAUUCCCUAACAGUGAACUAAAUAUUAAGACCUGUUUAGAAUA